ensembl:misc_RNA Metazoa_SRP Metazoan signal recognition particle RNA
GCCAGGCGUGGUGGUGUGUGCCUGUAGUCUGAACUACUAGGAAGGCAGAGGCAGGAGGAUUGCUUGAGUCCAGGAGGUUGAGGCUGCAGUGAGAUCUGAUCGUUCCACUGCACUCCAGCCUGGGCCAUAAAGCAAGACCCUGUCUCAA